UGGAAGUGAUGCAACGUUUCCACCUGACAAUACCCACUGGAGGCGCAAACUGAUUUAAUGAGUCUGAUCC